UAGCGGAGAAAUUCCAAUCGAACUCGGAGAUAGCUGGUUCUCCUCGAAAUAGCUUUAGGGCUAGCCUUGAGAAAAAAGAUAUGUGGGGGUAGAGCACUGAAGGUGCUAGGGGCCUCAACCAGGUUACUGAACACUAUCAAACUACGAAUACCAUAUAGAAAUCUCAGGAGUCAGACUGCGGGAGCUAAGUUCCGUGGUCAAAAGGGAAAGAGCCCAGAUCGUCAAUUAAGGUCCCAAAGAUAUAGCUAAGUGGCAAACGAUGUGAUUUUGCGUAAACAACCAGGAUGUUGGCUUAGAAGCAGCCAUACAUUUAAAGAGUGCGUAAUAGCUCACUGGUCGAGUGAAGUUGCGCGGAAAAUUACCGGGGCUAAGCUAUACACCGAAAUUGCGGAUUUACACUUGAAAGAUAGUGUAAGUGGUAGAGGAGCAUUCUGUAGUAGGGAGAAGCAAAAGCGAGAGCAUUUGUGGACGAGGCAGAAGAGAGAAUGCUGGAAUAAGUAGCGAGAGCAAGGUGAGAAUCCUUGCCGUCGAAAGUCUAAGGUUUCCUGGGGAAGGUUCGUCCGCCCAGGGUAAGUCGGGACCUAAGGUGAGGCUGAAAAGCGUAGCCGAUGGACAGCAGGUAUAAAAUUCCUGCACUACCGAAUACUUAAAAGAUUCAAAUGACACAGUAGAGGAAGGGAAUCCAGGAAGAGGAAAAACUGGAGCCGAAAGGCAUAGUGAAAAUAUAAAGUAAUGAAGUCCCAAGAAUCACACUGGCGAGAAAAGUUUGAAGAUAUUGUAUAAGGUACCCGUACCGCAAACCGACACAGGUAGAUGAGGAGAGGAUCCUAAGACGAGCGAGAGAAGUAUUGUUAAGGAACUCGGCAAACUAACCCCGUAACUUAGGGAGAAGGGGUACCAUAGUAACAUAUGGUCGCAGAGAAGAGUCCCAAGCAACUGUUUAACAAAAACACAGGUUUCUGCUAAAUCGAAAGAUGAAGUAUAGGAGCUGACGCCUGCCCAGUGCUGGAAGGUUAAGGGAAAGAGUUAGGUGUAAACCGAAGCUUAGAACUAAAGCCCCAGUGAACGGCGGCCGUAACUAUAACGGUCCUAAGGUAGCGAAAUUCCUUGUCAGGUAAGUUCUGACCCGCACGAAAGGCGUAAUGAUUUGGGAGCUGUCUCGACAAUAUACUCGGCGAAAUUGUAGUACUAGUGAAGAUGCUAGUUACCUGCGACAAGACAGAAAGACCCCAUGGAGCUUUACUGUAGCUUGAUAUUGGGUUUCGGUAAUUUAUGUACAGGAUAGGUGGGAGACUGAGAAGUUCUGGCGUCAGCUAGAAUGGAGUCACCCUUGGGAUACCACCCUUAAGUUAUUGAAAUUCUAACCUGUGAUCAUAAACUGGUCAGGGGACAAUGUCAGGCGGGCAGUUUGACUGGGGCGGUCGCCUCCUAAAGAGUAACGGAGGCGCCCAAAGGUUCCCUCAGCACGGACAGAAAUCGUGCGAAAGAGUGCAAAGGCAGAAGGGAGCUUAACUGAAAGACAGACAUGUCGAGCAGAUACGAAAGUAGGGCUUAGUGAUCCGGCGGUAGUGAGUGGAAAUGCCGUCGCUCAACGGACAAAAGUUACCCUGGGGAUAACAGGCUUAUCUCCCCCAAGAGUUCACAUCGACGGGGAGGUUUGGCACCUCGAUGUCGGCUCAUCGCAUCCUGGAGCGGAAGUACGUUCCAAGGGUUGGGCUGUUCGCCCAUUAAAGCGGUACGCGAGCUGGGUUCAGAA
rnacentral:rRNA from 1 species